GCUCCCUUUGCCGCCGCCUUAGCCCGGGACCCGAACCCAGCCUCUCCCCUACCCGAACACCGGCCCCGGCUCCACCGAGGCCCGGGUCCCCCAGCCCGUCUCGCCGCCGCCAUGGCGGACCCUAAAUACGCCGACCUUCCCGGCAUUGAAUGAGCCAGAUGUUUAUGAAACUAGCGACCUACCUGAGGAUGAUCAAGCGGAGUUCGAUGCG
rnacentral:lncRNA from 10 species